GAGUACAUGGACCCUAAUCCUGUUAAGGUUGUGAUUGGCUCAGAAGAUUUAGCUGCCAACCAUGAUGUUAUGCAGAUAGUUGAUCUCUCAUUUUAUUUAACCGGUUUUAGAUGAUCGUGCACAUUAUGAGCGAUUGACUGCAUUUAAAAUUUCUCUUCAUUGGCUAAAUAGAAUGGGCAGCAUUUAAAAUUUGCACUCUGUAUGUGUGUGACUGUAUGUUCUCUAACAUUUUAAUUGGGCUUCAUUUAAAUAAAUAAGUUUGCAGAUCCUUUCAUUCCUUAAAUU